GAUGAACGCUGGCGGCGUGCCUAAUACAUGCAAGUCGAGCGAACAGACGAGGAGCUUGCUCCCCUGACGUUAGCGGCGCACGGGGGAGUAACACGUGGAUAACCCUCCUUUAAGACUGGGAUAAAUUCGGGAAAACGUAGCUAAUUACGGAUAACAUGCUGCACCGCAUGGUUCAACAGUGAAAGACGGUCUUCCUGUCACUUAUACAUGGAUCCGCGCCGCAUUAGCUAGUUGGUAAGGUGACGGCUUACCAAGGCAACGAUGCGUAGCCGACCUGAGAGGGUGAUCGGCCACACUGGAACUGAGACACGGUCCAGACUCCUACGGGAGGCAGCAGUAGGGAAUAUUGCGCAAUGGGCGAAAGCCUGACGGAGCAACGCCGCGUGAGUGAUGAAGGUCUUCGGAUCGUAAAGCUCUGUUAUUAGGGAAGAACAAAUGUGUAAGUAACUAUGCACGUCUUGACGGUACCUAAUCAGAAAGCCACGGCUAACUACGUG
rnacentral:rRNA from 1 species